rnacentral:rRNA from 1 species
GACGAACGCUGGCGGCGUGCCUAAUACAUGCAAGUCGAGCGAACGGAGGAGAGCUUGCUCUCCGAAGUUAGCGGCGGACGGGUGAGUAACACGUGGGCAACCUGCCUAUAAGACUGGGAUAACUUCGGGAAACCGGAGCUAAUACCGGAUAGAUUCUUUCCUCUCAUGAGGAAAGAAGGAAAGAUGGUUUCGGCUAUCACUUAUAGAUGGGCCCGCGGCGCAUUAGCUAGUUGGUAAGGUAACGGCUUACCAAGGCGACGAUGCGUAGCCGACCUGUGAGGGUGAUCGGCCACACUGGGACUGAGACACGGCCCAGACUCCUACGGGAGGCAGCAGUAGGGAAUCUUCCGCAAUGGACGAAAGUCUGACGGAGCAACGCCGCGUGAACGAUGAGGGCCUUCGGGUCGUAAAGUUCUGUUGUUAGGGAAGAACAAGUAUGAGAGUAACUGCUCGUACCUUGACGGUACCUAACCAGAAAGCCACGGCUAACUACGUGCCAGCCGCCGCGUAA